rnacentral:lncRNA from 1 species
UAUUGCUAAGCGCUCAGAUGGAUCCCAUUAAUUUUCUUCCAAUUCAAUCACCCCUUCCCGUUCAUGAACUUCCAUUGAAAACAAUUGUCUAUUCUUUUUACACACAUGACCAAAAGAGUACUUCUCAUCGCAAUUGAAGCACAAGCCCUUGCUUCUAAUCUCAUCCAUCACAACAGAAGGAUCCUAUCAUUUUAUAUAGGUGUUUUG